rnacentral:piRNA from 1 species
GCAAAUUUGAUCCUGAUGCAGAGAUGCGA